ensembl:snRNA U6 U6 spliceosomal RNA
AUGCUUGUUUGGGCAGCAUGUAUACUAAAACUGGACCUCUGCACAGAAGAUUAGUAUGUCACCUGUGCAAGAAAGAAUUGAAAAUUCUUGAACAGUUCCAUGUUUUU